ACGCUCGACACCUACGGGAGGCNGCAGUGGGGAAUAUUGCACAAUGGGGGAAACCCUGAUGCAGCGACGCCGCGUGGAGGAAGAAGGUCUUCGGAUUGUAAACUCCUGUUGUUGGGGAAAAAGAGGAUGGUACCCAACAAGGAAGUGACGGCUAACUACGUGCCAGCAGCCGGGUAAUCUGAGCGGGCUGGCAAGGC
rnacentral:rRNA from 1 species